rnacentral:piRNA from 1 species
UAGCAAGAUAGAUUUUGAGUUGGUGCUG